GUUUAUAUAAUUUAAGUAAAAUAUUAGACUG
rnacentral:tRNA from 1 species